GACGAACGCUGGCGGCGUGCCUAAUACAUGCAAGUUGAGCGCUGAAGGUUGGUACUUGUACCAACUGGAUUAGCAGCGAACGGGUGAGUAACGCGUGGGGAAUCUGCCUUUGAGCGGGGGACAACAUCUGGAAACGAAUGCUAAUACCGCAUAAAAACUUUAAACACAAGUUUUAAGUUUGAAAGAUGCUAUUGCAUCACUCAAAGAUGAUCCCCCGUUUUAUUAGCUAGUUGGUGAGGUAAAGGCUCACCAAGGCGAUGAUACAUAUCCGAACUGAGAGGGUGAACAGCCACAAUGGGAAUGAGAAAAAGGCCAAACAUCCUCGGGAGGAAGCAGUAGGGAAGGUUAGGGAAUGGACGAAAGGCCGGACGAAGAAAGACGGGUGAAUGAAGAAGGGUUUCGGGACGUAAAACACUGUUGGUAGGGAAGAAAAGUAGGGGGAAUGGAAAGAGCAGAAAGUGACGGUAACUACCCAGAAAGAGACGGCUAACUACGUG
rnacentral:rRNA from 1 species